rnacentral:rRNA from 1 species
UACGACCUCAACUCAAGCAAGGCUACCCGCUGAA